AGUAUCUGUCCACCUGUGGGUGCAGCCACAUUCUUCUCUACUCUUCAAAAAUAAGUCGGAUCCACAAAGUACUACUCAACAUAUUGGACCUCAGUGUGGACAGGUGAAUGAAGGACAUGUGGAGAAUUCCAUUUCCAACUCCAUGUGCAUGAAUUAUUUGCCCUGGUUGUUCAUCUGUCAUAGUGUAAAAAGCCUGAUUUACAAAGACUGGAGGCCUUUCGCAGAACAAGAUAACUUCCAAUUUAAGGAGAUAUAGGACAAGGCAAGAAGGGUGGAAGAAGGCAUAAGAGAUCCUCACGUGGCAUUAUCAGGAUAAAAUUUGUUAAUGUAGCUGAACUAGAGAAACAUGGUUAUAAGAUGGAGACUUCAUAGCGUCCAGAAGAAGUGUUGAAGUAACCUAAACUUGACCUGCUUAAUACAUUCUAGGACAGAGAACCCAGGAUGGGACACUAAAAAAAUAAGUUUAUUUCAUUAUCUGCUUGGAUUUAUUUGUGUUUUUGUAACACAAAAAAUAAAUGUUUUGAUAUAAAAAAAAUAAAUAAGUACCAAGAUGAUGCAAAGGAAGAAAUUUUCCCCUCAAGAUGGACAAAUAUCUAAGCAAUUGGGAGGUGCAUUCUCUGGUAACAUGAGAGCCAACUCCCAGUCCUGAUUGCAUUGGAGAAGAAGCCCUCUGUGGAGCCUCCACUCUCAUUAUUCUAUUGAGAUCCAUGGAAUUAGGAAUUCCCAUCCUCAGUUUCUUCUUGGAGGUACAGAGCAGUAGCAUUCCAUGAAGGAGGAACUUCAAAAGAGAUUGUGUAAUUCAAAGUGUGCCGGACCAGUCAAAGAAUCCUGCGUCAAAAUCAAGAGAAUGAACAAGCCUUCAUCGCCAUGGCACAUUUAUAUAAAAAGAAAGGGAGAGAAGUUGGGGGAAGUCAGGGACCCCAAACAGAGGGACUGGCUGAAGCCAUGGCAGAAGAACGUGGAUUGUGAAGAUUUCAUGGACAUUUAUUAGUUCCCCAAAUUAAUACUUUUAUAAUUUCUUAUGCCUGUCUUUACUGCAAUCUCUAAACAAAAAUUGUGAAGAUUUCAUGGACACUUAUCACCUCCCCAAUCAAUACCCUUGUGAUUUCCUAGGCCUGUCUUUACUUUAAUCUCUUAAUCCUGUCAUCUUAUAAGCUAAGGAGGAUGUAUGUUGUCUCAGGACCAUGUGAUAAUUGCGUUAACUGCACAAAUUGUAGAGCAUGUGUGUUUGAACAAAUAUGAAAUCUGGGCACCUUGAAAAAAGAACAGGAUAACAGCAAUUGUUCAGGGAAUAAGAGAGAUAACCUUAAACUCUGACCGCCAGUGAGCCGGGCGGAACAGAGCCAUAUUUCUCUUCUUUCAAAAGCAAAUGGGAGAAAUAUCGCUGAAUUCUUUUUCUCAGCAAGGAACAUCCCUGGGAAAGAGAAAACACACCUGGGGGUAUAGGUCUAUAGAUGGCCCCCCCGGGUGUGGUCGUCUUUUAUGGUCUGUAGACUGUAGGGGUGAAAUAGAUCCCAGUCUCCCAUAGCACUCCCAGGCUUAUUAGGAAGAGGAAAUUCCCGCCUAAUAAAUUUUGGUCAGACCGGUUGCUCUCAAAACUCUGUCUCCUGAUAAGAUGUUAUCAAUGACAAUGGGGCCCGAAACUUCAUUAGCAAUUUUAAUUUCGCCCCGGUCCUGUGGUCCUGUGAUCUUGCCCUGCCUCCAUUUGCCUUGUGAUAGUCUAUUACCUUGUAAAGUACGUGAUCUUUGUGACUGACACCUUAUUCGUACACUCCCUCCCCUUUUGAAAAUCCCUAAUAAAAACUUGCUGGUUUUGUGGCUUGUGGGGCAUCACAGAACCUACGGACAUGUGAUGUCUCCCCUGGAUGACCA